rnacentral:rRNA from 1 species
AGAGUUUGAUCCUGGCUCAGGAUGAACGCUAGCGACAGGCCUAACACAUGCAAGUCGAGGGGCAGCGAAGAGGUAGCAAUACCUCUGUCGGCGACCGGCGCACGGGUGAGUAACACGUAUGCAAUCCACCUGUAACAGGGGGAUAACCCGGAGAAAUCCGGACUAAUACCCCAUAAUAUGGGCGCUCCGCAUGGAGAGCCCAUUAAAGAGAGCAAUUUUGGUUACAGACGAGCAUGCGCUCCAUUAGCCAGUUGGCGGGGUAACGGCCCACCAAAGCGACGAUGGAUAGGGGUUCUGAGAGGAAGGUCCCCCACAUUGGAACUGAGACACGGUCCAAACUCCUACGGGAGGCAGCAGUGAGGAAUAUUGGUCAAUGGGCGAGAGCCUGAACCAGCCAAGUAGCGUGAAGGAUGAAGGUCCUACGGAUUGUAAACUUCUUUUAUACGGGAAUAAAGUAUCCUACGUGUAGGAUUUUGUAUGUACCGUAUGAAUAAGCAUCGGCUAACUCCGUGCCAGCAGCCGCGGUAAUACGGAGGAUGCAAGCGUUAUCCGGAUUUAUUGGGUUUAAAGGGUGCGUAGGCGGCACGCCAAGUCAGCGGUGAAAUUUCCGGGCUCAACCCGGACUGUGCCGUUGAAACUGGCGAGCUAGAGUACACAAGAGGCAGGCGGAAUGCGUGGUGUAGCGGUGAAAUGCAUAGAUAUCACGCAGAACCCCGAUUGCGAAGGCAGCCUGCUAGGGUGAAACAGACGCUGAGGCACGAAAGCGUGGGUAUCGAACAGGAUUAGAUACCCUGGUAGUCCACGCAGUAAACGAUGAAUACUAACUGUUUGCGAUACAAUGUAAGCGGUACAGCGAAAGCGUUAAGUAUUCCACCUGGGGAGUACGCCGGCAACGGUGAAACUCAAAGGAAUUGACGGGGGCCCGCAC